UGCAGGAAAAGAGCUAUUUCUGGCAGCUCUCUCUCUUAACACUCACCCCGGUCAAACUGAUUUAAUGGAGAUUUAUAGAUGCAGGGCUAACACAGCUCUGAGGCACUUUCCCAAAAGAAUCACAGCCACUUUUGGGGUGAGGUUGAGGUGAAAGCAGUGGCUCUGCAACCUGGUGGCACCCCUCUGCCUUCUUCCCCACAAACAUCUAUUGUGCAGCCAGGUUCAGCCACCUAUUGUGUGCCAGCUGCUAUCUAUUGUUCUACUCUCCCCAGCCUAUGGCCUAAAGGGGCUCACCCUCAGCAUGGAUGUUACAAUCAGCUGUCAGGCAUCAACUCUGUGUAAGGUCCCUGGCAAGGUUCCUGCAUAAGAAAAGAGAAUGAAUAACCAUCCAUGUCCAGGAGGAUCAGGAGGUGAGGAGAAGGAGCUGCCCCCCACCCUUACCGGACACCACAAGGCAAAAUGUUAGGAAUAAAGAAAUCGGACUGAGUAAAGCAAGUAGCAGGCAGAAAAACAGUGUCGAAUGCUUAGCUUAGCCCCCUUCGAGUGACUGUUCUGUGAU